UCAGUUACAGAUUGAACUCCUGUUC
rnacentral:piRNA from 1 species